GGCUUAACACAUGCAAGUCGAGCGGAAACGAUGAUAGCUUGCUAUCAGGCGUCGAGCGGCGGACGGGUGAGUAAUACUUAGGAAUCUACCUAGUAGUGGGGGAUAGCUCGGGGAAACUCGAAUUAAUACCGCAUACGUCCUACGGGAGAAAGCAGGGGAUCUUUGGACCUUGCGCUAUUAGAUGAGCCUAAGUCGGAUUAGCUAGAUGGUGGGGUAAAGGCCUACCAUGGCGACGAUCUGUAGCUGGUCUGAGAGGAUGAUCAGCCACACCGGGACUGAGACACGGCCCGGACUCCUACGGGAGGCAGCAGUGGGGAAUAUUGGACAAUGGGGGGAACCCUGAUCCAGCCAUGCCGCGUGUGUGAAGAAGGCCUUUUGGUUGUAAAGCACUUUAAGCAGUGAAGAAGACUCUUCGGUUAAUACCCGGGGACGAUGACAUUAGCUGCAGAAUAAGCACCGGCUAACUCUGUGCCAGCAGCCGCGGUAAUACAGAGGGUGCAAGCGUUAAUCGGAAUUACUGGGCGUAAAGCGAGCGUAGGUGGCUUGAUAAGUCAGAUGUGAAAUCCCCGGGCUUAACCUGGGAACUGCAUCUGAAACUGUUAGGCUAGAGUAGGUGAGAGGGAAGUAGAAUUUCAGGUGUAGCGGUGAAAUGCGUAGAGAUCUGAAGGAAUACCGAUGGCGAAGGCAGCUUCCUGGCAUCAUACUGACACUGAGGCUCGAAAGCGUGGGUAGCAAACAGGAUUAGAUACCCUGGUAGUCCACGCCGUAAACGAUGUCUACUAGUCGUUGGGUCCCUUGAGGACUUAGUGACGCAGCUAACGCAAUAAGUAGACCGCCUGGGGAGUACGGCCGCAAGGUUAAAACUCAAAUGAAUUGAC
rnacentral:rRNA from 1 species